rnacentral:sRNA from 1 species
UAUUCUGCCCUACGGGGAAGGAUGAGAAGCUUCGACUAAGGUUCGACUCGAGCGUCAGCGAGAGAACGUUGCCGCAGGCAACGGCCCGAAGGGCGAGGCGCUUUAGCGCCGAGUAAUCCUUCCCCCAC